rnacentral:rRNA from 1 species
UACGUAGGGGGCGAGCGUUGUCCGGAUUUAUUGGGCGUAAAGAGCUCGUAGGCGGUUUGGCAAGUCGGGUGUGAAAACUCCGGGCUCAACUCGGAGACGCCACUCGAUACUGCCAUGACUCGAGUCCGGUAGGGGAGUGCGGAAUUCCUGGUGUAGCGGUGAAAUGCGCAGAUAUCAGGAGGAACACCGGUGGCGAAGGCGGGUCUCUGGGCCGUAACUGACGCUGAGGAGCGAAAGCAUGGGGAGCGAACAGG